GCAGUUGUGGUGAGCCCCAUCACAAUCGCACUGGCUGGCUUCGUUCAUUUCACUGUUCGUUCGUUCGUUCAUAGCUUCGCUCUCUCUCCCCGUCAACCAGUUCCAUUCAUCGCGCGAGCGAGGUGCAUUCAGCAGUAUCAUUCGAAUAUUUCCACCGAACGGACGUUGAAGCUACAUACCGCUGGUCUCGGAACCGACGGUCGUGUGUUUUGGGACUGUGUGUACCUACGUUAACGGACUGUGUUUCAUGUGAACAAUUUUAUUCUCCUCGAACCCCGAGACGACGGUACGCGCGUACGAAACGGACAGUUUUCUGUUGUUGGGACCCAUUCGGGGUACUUGGCUAUGUGGAAGACCCCAGAAGGGAGCUUUGAAGACGGUCUCCGUAUGUUUUCGGUGCUACCUUUCUUCUAAUGCGUUCACUUCGGUCGAACCCGUCGUGAUCGUCGUCGUCGUCGUCGUCGUCUGUGGCGCAAAACAUAAACAUCAUACUUAGUGCUGCUGUUGCUGCUAUAUUAUGAGACUUUGAACCGGUGGCUGUGACCAAACGAAAGACAGCAGAUCACUACACCCAUUCUCAUCGGCGCUGAUUUGCGUGAACUUUCUUUUCGAUCCUCCAAAAGAAACCAUUCCUAGACAAAUCACGCGCGGCCGAAAUUCUACAACAUCCAGACUUAUCGAAAAAAAAACAGCAAAACCGGGACCGGACAACAACUUGUCAAUUGACUUUGCUGCGUUGGCAACAGUGACGGUGUACAAGUGCUCCAGAGCUGGAGAGUUAACGAACGAUCCACCCGCGCGAACUUGACGACUAAAACCUUACCAUAAUCGUCUUUUCUUUAGUGACUUCAACUUCAACAUUGUUGCAAAGCGUGGUGUACCUAGCUGUUGCGCACGCACAGAAUUCUCGAAAUUUUGCAACGCUUCAAAGACCCCGCCAGGUUGGUGCACGCUCCGCUGCACAUGUCUUUGACCAACGAGGCACGGGGCUGGUCGAUCGGUCGGUCGGUGCCACUGACUGUAUCUAGUGAUUGUGUGAUCUGACCAAGUGAGCAUUGAAGUCACUGGCUGCAUAGUAGUUUGCUCGACGAUCGCAAAGGUACGAAGAAACUUGCGAAACUUUCGUUUUUCGGCGCCAACAAGCGUGUUGCCAAUCUUACACUUUUGGCGCCAAGUGGUUGAAGUGCGAUCGAUGUUCUAAGGAGGUGUGGGUCAGCUAUCGACGAAAAUCAAACAGCAGUGAGUCGCUGUGGAAGACGGUGGCGCGAAAAAGUGAAAAUUGAUUUUCCACCUAUUGAUCGCAUGAGUUUAAUCAGUGUGCUACUGUUGUAUUGUAUGAAAGCGUCCGAAUAACGAAAAGUGUUUCGCGCAUCAGAGCAGUUAAAAUAUUGAAUAUCCAAUCAGUUUUUAAGCUCAGCAUUCGCGAGCGCGCGCACAGUUAAGCCAAGUGAUACAAAUUUAUGGCUAAUUGAUCGUUUUCCUCGGAUAGUGCAGUAGUGCGCUGCUUUUGGCAAAGCGGCAUUUUCCCCGAUUGGCGUGAUGUUUUUUUGAUGUGAGCAGAAAAAGGGAAAUUUUUUUCGUUGAUUUUUGCUUUUUGCGCCCGCUACAGUGAGAAAAAAAAGGCGCAAUUAGACUCGCGAGCACCCCGUCGUCGUGGCCACAUACAACCGAAACUGCUUCGGAAGACCAAGAAACGGAGCCAAACUGAAGAGUAUAGUGCAAUCAGUUAAACAUAAAAAAAAAACCGUAACAGCACGGAGGCAUCGGAAAGUGAAACAGCCAAAUAGCAACAGGAAAAUAUACGAAUUCGAAAAGUUGAGCGAAAAGUUUUACAUACACAUUGUGUGAGACGGCGCUUGUCAGUUUUUUUUUUUUUCGGUGGAUUAGUGGAAGUAAAAAAGAGCUUUGCGUUUUUCGUUUGUUUCAUCAUCAACAACGCAGCUAUUAUCAGGUGCUGCAGAUAGAUAUACAGCGCGCUUCUUUAUCAGUGGCGCUCAGUGGUGAAAAAUUACAGUCGAAGAAAAACUUUCGGAUUUACAUGCACUCGCACACAAACUGAGGCACGCAGAAGCGCGGUUUGGAAAAUUGCGUGCGAAGAAAUACAUCCUUGGUAGCUUGGAAGAACAGCCACAGAGAUCCAGAGACGACUCCACACCGACGAGGACGUGAACUUUUGCGUGAACUCAAUGCAAAUGGUAUGCAAAUACGUGACGUCUCAUAAAAACAAUGAUAUUUCGAGGAUGAUAGGCAAGGUAUUUAACAUUAUAGAACCUGCUGAAGGAAGCCGUGUUAUUUUUGGUAUCUAUUCUUCAUUUUCUUUUUAUCUACUGGCCUUUGUAAUUCAAAAACCCAAAUUUCGAUUUUCAUUGCUGUUGGAAAUUU